GUUACAUUUGCCGGCAGCCGACCAGACUUUGGGUUCGGCCUGAGUCUUGGAUUCCUGUUGACUGGUCACGGUUCCCUCAAUGCAUUCUUGCAUUCGAGGAGCCUUUAUGACAGUCCAGAAUGCCGUUGUGGCUCGGCUGCUGAGACAUGGGAGCAUGUUCUCUGUGAGUGCACAAGGUAUGCAGAUCUUCGAGAUCUGAGGGGGAUGGGUAUAAGUGAGGUUAGUGGCGGGUUUGACAACUCCGCUGUCAUUGUGAAUGAUGUCAGUAUUGAAUGCACUUUGGUGAGAUCAACUGACUGGGGGGUGUGUGUGAGUCUUCUAUUUGAUCUAUCUGUGGCCCAUUCAUUUGGAACCUCAUGAUGGACCCAUGCUAAUGCAGCUCGAGCAGAUGUGUAAGUGUUGUGCGUAUGCGGACGAUCUGCUCGUCUUGAUUGAGGGUCGGUCGCGUUUUGAGAUCGUGAAAUACCUCGGCAUAACCUUCGGCGAGAGGAUGUGUUUCACUCCUCAUAUCGCUGGUCUCAAGGCCCGGCUACUUGGUUUGGUGGGGCAAGUGCGUCGUAUUUUGAGGACUGAUUGGGGCCUAAGCAGACGUGCUGUCCGCACCAUCUAUGAGGGUCUGUUUGCUGCAUGUGCAGCAUAUGGAUCGUCUGUAUGGUGCAAGGCGGUCACGACUGUGGUUGGCAGAAAGAAGUGCUGGCUUGCCAGAGAGUGCUUCUGUUAGGUUGUUUGCUGUGUGCCGCACUGUCUCUACGGAGGCAAUGCAGGUACUGUUAGGAGUAGCCCCUCUUGACUUGGAGAUCAGGCGUCGAGCCUUGAUAUACAGGAUCAAGAGGCGGCUGCCAUUGCUGCAGAAUGAUUGGCUAGCAGAUAGGGAUGUGGAGAGUUUAGGGCUUAGUGAAUGCAAGAGAUUGGUGAAAGAGUGUGUUCUGUCUGACUGGCAAGUCAGAUGGGACACAAGCGUGAAUGGGCGUGUCACUCAUCGGUUUAUACGGGAGGUUACAUUUGCCGGCAGCCGACCAGACUUUGGGUUCGGCCUGAGUCUUGGAUUCCUGUUGACUGGUCACGGUUCCCUCAAUGCAUUCUUGCAUUCGAGGAGCCUUUAUGACAGUCCAGAAUGCCGUUGUGGCUCGGCUGCUGAGACAUGGGAGCAUGUUCUCUGUGAGUGCACAAGGUAUGCAGAUCUUCGAGAUCUGAGGGGGAUGGGUAUAAGUGAGGUUAGUGGCGGGUUUGACGUAAGUCAAUCACUCUCCACUAGUGAUAGGGUUAGAAGAAUGAGUGAGUUUGCGAGAGCUGCAUUUUCCAGGCGACGUUUGCAAUUGCAGGAAGGAAUUGUAUGAAUGAAGAUGGAUGGUAGAUGUACGAAUGUGGGGGUACGAAUGGUGGGGUACGAACGUGGGGGUGUGUCUGAAUGGGCAUUUUGUUGAACAUUGUGUUGUCUGGGGCCACCAACCCUUAACUGUUUUGGAGUUUAAAUUGGAAGUGCCCUUCUGGUACGAGGCCUGACCAGAGGUCUUUAAUCUGGUACCACGCGGGUAACCAGGAGCCCACGGAACUUGUUCCGUCCUGGUUAGUUGGUGCGGCCCUUCGGGGAGUAUCGUGGUGGUUGUGGUUUAACACCCAAAUGCGGGUAGAGCUUGCUCGACGUGGAGUUGCGUUAUACAACCGGGUUCCGUAAUCCAGAUUUCGGAAGAGGCUUAGAUAGUCCUCGUGCCAAACCAAGGUAGAAGUCACAACCAAACAGUCGUGUCUUUAAUUGGUACCUGCGGAAUUGUUCCAAGGGGGCGGUGAUUGACGCUUGAAUUAAUCCUAUACUAGGAACCGUGAGAUUAAGCCAUCGUGGCAGGUGCUCACGUUAAGCCCACUGACUUUCAUGUCCCUAUCUACUAUCUAGCGAAACCACAGCCAAGGGAACGGGCUUGGAAUAAUUAGCGGGGAAAGAAGACCCUUUUGAGCUUGACUCUAAUCUGGCAGUGUAAGGAGACAUAAGAGGUGUAGAAUAAGUGGGAGAUAUUAGACUUCGGUUUGGUAUCGACAAUGAAAUACCACUACUCUUAUUGUUUCCUUACUUACUUGAUUAAAUGGAACGUGUAUCAUUUCCUAGCCAUUAUACGGAUAUAAUUAUUAUGUCUUAUGGUAUUGGGUUUUGAUGCAAGCUUCUUGAUCAAAGUAUCACGAGUUUGUUAUAUAAUCGCAAACAAAUUCUUUAAUGAGAGAAUGCAUUUAUGUAUUAUUGAUUUAAAAAUUUGGUAUAACUCCAAUUACUCAGGUAUGAUCCAAUUCAAGGACAUUGCCAGGUAGGGAGUUUGACUGGGGCGGUACAUCUCUCAAAUAAUAACGGAGGUGUCCCAAGGCCAGCUCAGUGCGGACAGAAACCACACAUAGAGCAAAAGGGCAAAUGCUGACUUGAUCUCGGUGUUCAGUACACACAGGGACAGCAAAAGCUCGGCCUAUCGAUCCUUUUGGUUUAAAGAGUUUUUAACAAGAGGUGUCAGAAAAGUUACCAUAGGGAUAACUGGCUUGUGGCGGCCAAGCGUUCAUAGCGACGUCGCUUUUUGAUCCUUCGAUGUCGGCUCUUCCUAUCAUUGUGAAGCAAAAUUCACCAAGCGUUGGAUUGUUCACCCAUGCAAGGGAACGUGAGCUGGGUUUAGACCGUCGUGAGACAGGUUAGUUUUACCCUACUAAUGACAAAACGUUGUUGCGACAGCAUUCCUGCGUAGUACGAGAGGAACCGCAGGUACGGACCAAUGGCACAAUACUUGUUCGAGCGAACAGUGGUAUGACGCUACGUCCGUUGGAUUAUGCCUGAACGCCUCUAAGGUCGUAUCCGUGCUGGACUGCAAUGAUAAAUAAGGGGCAAUUUGCAUUGUAUGGCUUCUAAACCAUUAAAAGUUUUUAAUUUAUUUUAUUAACGACAAUGGAUGUGAUGCCAAUGUUAUUUAUAACAUAGUAAAUUGGGAGGAUCUUCGAUCACCUGAUGCCGCGCUAGUUAUAUUUUAAAACAUUAUUU
rnacentral:rRNA from 1 species